CAUGGAGUUCCCCUGGAUUUCCUGGUCAUGAGGAGUGGGUAGCAGGAUGAAGCGCCUCCAAGCUUGGACCUCCUGCAGAGACUUCUUUAGUUCUGGCCCCACUCAAAACUAGCAGCCUUAGGGCUAUUCGAAAAUGGAUGCAAGAGUAGAAGCUGAUCCUCGAGGCUUGCAAAAGUGGGGUUCUUUCUGAAAGUGAAGCCAGCAGCCAAGAGCCACCCUUCAGAAGAUAGAAGGAAGAGCAGCUGCAUGAGUGAUGGCCACAGCAAUGCAUGGGUCCUGUCUGUCCACGUAGUCCUCUCCAUCUGCCCGUAGCUUGCCAGGAAACUUUCUAUAAUAAUACCAAUACAACCAAAGACUAUUAUUCUGAACAGAAAACAAGAAAUACAGCUGGAGCUAUUUCCUAUCUACCUGAUGAAGGGCACUACCAGGCGGUCACUCUGGCUCUGUCCACCGAUGCCUGUGCCCACUUUGUGCGACGUAGCUUCCAUGGAGACAAGAGCAAUGGUAAUGGAAGAAGAAAG
rnacentral:lncRNA from 10 species